rnacentral:rRNA from 1 species
GACGAACGCUGGCGGCGUGCCUAAUACAUGCAAGUCGAACGCUUCUUUCCUCCCGAGUGCUUGCACUCAAUUGGAAAGAGGAGUGGCGGACGGGUGAGUAACACGUGGGUAACCUACCCAUCAGAGGGGGAUAACACUUGGAAACAGGUGCUAAUACCGCAUAACAGUUUAUGCCGCAUGGCAUAAGAGUGAAAGGCGCUUUCGGGUGUCGCUGAUGGAUGGACCCGCGGUGCAUUAGCUAGUUGGUGAGGUAACGGCUCACCAAGGCCACGAUGCAUAGCCGCCCUGAGAGGGUGAUCGGCCACACUGGGACUGAGACACGGCCCAGACUCCUACGGGAGGCAGCAGUAGGGAAUCUUCGGCAAUGGACGAAAGUCUGACCGAGCAACGCCGCGUGAGUGAAGAAGGUGUUCGGAUCGUAAAACUCUGUUGUUAGAGAAGAACAAGGACGUUAGUAACUGAACGUCCCCUGACGGUAUCUAACCAGAAAGCCACGGCUAACUACGUG